AGAAGUUGUGUUCACUAUCCAGCGCAAUCAUCUCAAGUUGGUAAACCAGUUAUCUUGUAAAAAACAGUUGAAGAAAGACUUCUUCAACUGUUUACCCAUGGAUUAUCUUACUUGCUCAGUUUCAUAACCAGCUGCCUUUUGUAGUUCAUUGCUAGCUGAAGUAUCUGCAUCCAUGUACACACCAUCACACAAGCCUACCUUGUCCUUCCAGGCCACAAAACUUACUAACAUGCAGCUGGUAUUUUGCUGCCAGAGAACACAUCUGCAGAAGUUUACAAGAGAAGGUAAUGAGCUUGUUAUCAAAAACCAAUUAUAGGUUCAUUUUGUUCUCUCACUUGGCAUUUGAAAUAGGCAAGUAGAAUGUCAAUAGAUGUAUCUUGAAGUUCCAUGAAUAAUUAAGCAACUCUCAUCAAGUCCUAAGUCCUUAAAAUUAGUUGGUUCUUGUAAAGGAAACUAACAGGAAAUCAUUGUUGUUGCCCACUCAGGUACAGAAGCAUGAAAAGGUGCUGCUUUAUAUACUUAUGGUUCUUGUAAAGGUGCUGCUUUAUUUACUUAUGGUUGAGCACUUCUUGAUGAAUGAUGUCUAUGUUAGGUUGUGGAUGUAAUCAAAUUCACAAUUCAAUAUAGUAGUAAUUUAUUUUGAAAAGUGAAUUUGAGAUGCAUAUAUGGGUAGUUUGAUAUAUAUUUUGUGGAUGUAGUAAUUUGAAACUGUAAACGAAUAGUAUUAUUGGGAUGUAUUUUGAAUGGUAGAUACAUUUUGGCUUUAAAUUUAAAUGAGAAUUUAGACCUUUUAGCUAUAUAUCAUGGCAUUAACAAUUGUAGGUGCACUAGUAAUAUAGGUGAACCACAAUUUUUUUUUUAUUUUUUUUCAAGUCAAUCUACAAUAUUUUAAAAACGUUGUGUAAAUGUGCAUAAACGUUGUCUAAUAUACUAAACAACAACGUUUUUAUCCAGAAAACGUUGUGGAAUCAUACAUUCUACAACGUUUUUAAGCAUAUGCUAAUUUAUGAAAAACAAAUCUACAACGUUUUUUUCUUAAAAAGUGUUGUGUAAUGUGCUUAACUACAACGUUUUAAAAACGUUGUGUAAAGGUGUCAAAUAGAUGACACCCUUAACCACGACGUUUUUCUGACUGAAACCACAACGUUUUUUUCGCGUUAUCUAUUUACUGUUUUGUGGUAGUGAGUAUAAACUGGGUGCAGCUGCGCCAACAGAAGCAGUAACUUGCUCUGUUUUGCAGAGCAUCAACCAACAAUGAUUCUAACUGGUUUAAACAUGUCUAAUUCCAUCAUUAAAGGUUCCAUAAAUGUUCACAUACUUCCUAAACACAUGAUAGCACAUUCACAUUGAUUAAUAGGUAAUUUUAAGAUAUUUUAAGAAUUUGACAAAAUCCAACUAAGAACAAAAGUUAUGAUUUUUAUACCUCUUGAAGUUUAGUAAACUUAGUUUCUCCCUUCUGAGAUUGCUAGUCUUUUCUUUGAACAACAAACACUAAAUUUAUAUUUAUCAGAGUUUCAACAUAAAAACAAAAGCAACGUAAAACUGAAAAUGGAGCUGCCAUUUAUAGAAGAAACUUGGACUGGGCAUUCAUUUUACACUGAGGUUUGAACCCAUGGUGCAUUGGAAGGAAACAUUGGUUAAUUAGGAGUAGUUGAACUACCCAACACCAACCAUCUUCUAGCUAAUGAGUACAAGCUUGGAAGUUACGUAUUUUAGCCACAGGUUACUGUUCAUGUACUGUAGGUGUAACUGAUGAGCUUUAUUUCUCAGCAACGUGCUUAAAUUUUGCUCAGUUAGUUACUUUAACUCCCAAAAUGUAAUUUUAAUGUACAAUUGUUACCAUAUCAGAAAAAUUAGGGAUUAUUUAUGUACUCACAUCAUAUAAUCCAUGUACAUUAGUCCACAUAAUUUAAUAUUUAAAACAUGUGUAGACUUAAUUUAAUUGAUCACUAAUAAUUUAAUAUCUCGUUUUUACUAUUAAUCACCCAUUGGUAUAGAAAUAAAUAUUUUAAUAAUACAUCUUUAUUUACUCCGAUACUUUAGAGUACACAUUUAAUUGUCUCAUCACAUAUGAUGAGAUAAUAAAACAUAUUUAAAUCAACCUUAUGUUUUAAUUACUUUUACCAUAUGAUUUUUGUAUAUCAUUAAUCCCAAUUAAAUGUCACACUUCAUGUAGUCUUAAACCAUAGGUAAUUAUAUAUUACUACUGUCCAUAUUUUCCAUAUUACACAUAGUACGUAACAUGAAAUACUAUUUAAUGAUAAUGUUCACAUUAAUAUUAAUGGUAAUUGAUCCAUUAUUCUUCUUAAUGAUGUCAAUACACCAUCUUUAUAACCCAUGCACUCUGUAAAAUUAUUUUUCCAAAUCUUACAUCCGGCGCAAUUGCGUUGGAUUUCAGUACAAGAGUGGCGCAGCUGUGCCAUUCUGAAAAUUUUUCUAACUUAGUUACUGUUGCAAAAAUUUCUAUUAAUCCAUCCCUUUAAUAAAUAAUACCCUCAUUUAUUAUCUUGCCAUUCUAGAUAAUUAUGAAAAUUACUUCAUUAAUAUUAUUCACAAUGUAAAUUAAUUAAUAAUAUCAUAUUAACUAAUUAUUCUUUCCACUUAAAUUUUCAUUCCCAGGCCACACAAGGCAUUUCUCAAUUCUCAUCACAACUCCAUACUUAUAAAUUCAAUUUGAAUUAAUUGAACUACUUGUCUCACUACACAUCAAUAUUUAUAUUCAUAUUAUAUUGAAAUAAUUAUUUAUUCCUGAAAUUCUCGGUUCUUACCUCCUCCCCCCUUAUAAAAAUUCCAUCCUCAGAAUUGUACAAGGUUACACAAAUAAAUGGGGAUAAUCCUUUCACAUAUUAUCAUCUAAUUCCCACGUGGCCUCCUUGGCGUUGUGGUUUCCUCGGCGUCGUAGUUUCGCCAAAGUACUUUUACAGAAGAUAUACUUUUAUUCCUUAAUGUUUGUUCUUUCCUAUCUAAUAUUUAGACAGGAAUUUCUUCAUAUGCCAUAUUCUUCUCCACUUGAAUGGUCUUGUACGAAAUCACGUGUUUGUAGUCAGGCUUGUACGGACGCAACACGGAGAUGUGAAAUACGUUAUGGAUGUGCUCCAACUCAGGUGGUAAUACAACUUUGUACGCCACUUCGCCCACUCGCUUCAGUAUCUCAAAUGGUCCUAUAAAUUGCGGACUCAAUUUUCCCUUCUUGCCGAAUCGUAUUUUUCCCUUCCAAGGAGAUACUUAGAAAACGUGGCUUCCGACUUCAAAGUCGCGGUCCUGACGAUGCAAGUCUGCGUACUUCUUCUGGAGAUCUUGUGCAGCUACUAAUCUAGCCCUUACCAAUGUCACCACAUAUGCGGUUUGUUGAACUAAUUACGACCCUAGUAUCUUUCUGUAACGCCCCAAAAAAUUUGAAUUUUUGAGAAUUAAAAUUUUAUUUGAUUAUGUGGAUUAAAAUGAAUUUAAUUAAUUAUAUAUGGGAGUAAGCUAAUUGAAGGUCGUUCUAUGACCUAGAUAUAUCGGAGUGUCAUAGUAUUUUGACUACGUGGUAGAAUUAAAGUGUUUGAAUUUUCAAGAUGAAAAUAAAAGCUUUUUGAGAAAUUUUUUGAAAAAUACUAUUCACGCAUUUCAGCUCGAAAAUUAUUUUUGAACUUCCGAUAAAUAUGUAAUGAUAGAAUAUCGAGGUGAGAUAGAAUAUCCAAUAAUAUUACAGUUAUGGCAAACAUAGUUUUUCGCCUACGAACUUAAAACCUAACGAUUAGGGAAAGUGAUUUCCGAGAAAGAAAUGGAAUAUGUAUAAUGAAUUAAAGCUAUGAUUGUAUAAUACGUAAGUAUUAUACGAGGUAAUGAAUACAAGUAUAAUACGAGGUAUUAUAUGAGUCUGUAUGAAUGAUGGAAUGUCGUAUAUUAAAUAAGUAUACGAGUUGGAAUACGAGAUGAAUACGCAAAUUAUACGUUAUAAGGCUUUAAGUUAAAUGAAUUUAAUUUAUAGGAUUGUGUAGAACAUUGUAAAGUCCAAUGAGAAUUGAUAAGGCCCAAGUGUAGAAAUGGGUAAGUCCAAUAGGAAUUAAUGCGUAAGCCCAAUGCAAGCUAAUGGUAAAGCCCAAAGAAUUGUUACUGCAAGCCCAAGUAUAAGUUAAUCAAAAAGCCCAAAGUAUGAACUUAUGGGUUAUUGUAUGGUUUAAACCCAUGGGUGAUCCAAAGUAAUGAGAAAGUAAUUAAUGUGAUAAGCAAGUAAAGUGCUUAUGUGUGGUGAAUAAGUAAAAGUUGUGAUCAACAAGCAAAGGAUAAGCUAGGUGAUUAACAAGUAAACUUAAAGGCUAAGUUAUGUGAUUAGCAAGUAUACUUAAUGGUUAAGUAUAUGUGAUGCCCAAGUAUUGGAUAGAUGUUGUGAUGGCCAAGCAAAGAGUGUGGUGGCCAAGUUAACUUAGUACUUAAGCUAGGAAUAGUAAGGAGGUGAUUAAGGAGGUGGGAUUGGCUUUGGACUAAAAUGCCCUCACUUUGGGUUGCCUAUAAAUAGAGAGCUCUCAAUUCAUUUGAUGGCUUGAUUAAAAUUUCUCCCAACUCCUCUCAAGUUAAGCAACUUAUUGGUUAGAGAGAAUAAGCACUUAUAAGUCAAACUUCCAUUAUGAGAUUUUCAAGAAGCAAGAAGGAGAUUAAAGCUUAGUCAAGUGAUAUUCAAGGGUAAGAACUUAAACCAUGAAUCUCUUUCUCUUCCAUUGGUAGGGAGAUGGGUAGUGGUAGAACAUGUAUGCUAAGGAAUGAUAGGAAUGAGUAAUCAAAGAGCUUAAGUCUUAAUAAGCCGUAUAAGUCAUGAAUAAGCUAUUCGUAAUCAUAUAAGUUAUGAAACAAGGAAGAACUUGUAGGAACUUGUUUUAUGUUGAAAUAAUAAGGUUGUAUGAUAAUAAGAAGUAAGGAUGAUGGUUAAAAGAUUUAAGCUAUGAUAAGUCAUGCAAAGUGAAUUCAUAAGUAGUUCAUACUUUUACAAGUUAUAGACUAAUGAAGAAAAAGUAAUAACUUAUCAUGCCAAUAAGUUAAUGAAGUAUGUAUGUCAAGAUGUUAAUAUGAUGGAUUGAAUCCAUUUAAAACGAUGAACAAAUCAUAAGAAAUGAAGUUAAGGCAAAAUUUACGAGUUUGGAUGAUAAUCAUCGAAUUCGUGAAAUUCUCGAAAUGGAUGUCGAAUUUUGAUAUUGAGCUUGGAAACAUUGGUUUUCAAUGGAGACAAGUCAUAUUUGGCAUUAUAGAGUUGCGGACUCAAAAAUAACCAGAUUCCGACUUAGAGCGAAGGAACGAGCGUUGAACGUUCACGAACGUUUAUUGUUUUCGUUAAAAAUGAACUAAUGAAUUUUUAGCAAACGAAGUCAAGUAGAUAAAAUUCUUGCAUGAAUGUGUAGAGUAUGUAAUUUGUGAACCAUAACUUUUGAACGAGCCAAUUCGAACUUAUAACGAAGAAGUUAUGAGUCCGGGAGUUUAGUAAAAUUUUCAAAUUUUGCAAACUAGCUGAGGCACAUAGUUGGCGCCGCGGCGCCAACCCAAGGCCAAAUGGAUGGCGCAGCAACGCCGUAACAGUGUCAGGGCAUACUGCUAACUCACGCCGCGACGCGAGAUGAAGAGCUAAGUGUGGUGCCGCGGCGCCAGUCCUAGAGUUUUGACAGACAAGAAUGUUUACAAGUAUAGAAGGAAAGAUAACUCAUUAGUAAUGAAAUAAGGUGUUAAUAUAACAUUGCUAAGGCAUUGUUAGACACUUAAUUUAUGAUGAUUAAAGGUUGAUAACCAAUUGAAUGUGAACAUAAUGAGAACAACAUAAUGUGCUAAGCCGGCUGUAGAAAUUUGUUGACCAAGUUGAUUAUGAAUCCAAUGGUUUGCAAUACCAUUAUGGGUUAUGUAAUUAUUUAAUGAACAUGAUAAGACCUUUCCUAAAUCACGGUUAUAGUGAUGACUUUAGGAAUUUAAUGUUAUUUAAUGAGUAGUUAAAUGACGAACGGAAAGUAUAAUGAACGUGAACCGUAUUCAAUAAUGAUAAGGCCUAUAACGUUAAGAGUUACAACUAAAAGUUGUAUACAUAAACGGUAUGCAAUAAAGUGUACUUAACAAAUGACGAUCAAGUUUCGAUUAAUAAUGUAAGGAUGUUAGUAAGCCGUGAGGAAGGAUGAUUAACUCGAAACGAGUUCUAUUAAUGAAGUAAAUCCACGUAAGACAUAGAAGAGAAAGAAGUUGGUAAGAAUAAUGUAAAUUAUAAUGGCAAGCCGGAACCAAUAGUAACAAAUCUAAUAUAUGAUUAGAUUGAGAUGAAGGGUAAGAUUCAUUAGAAACCAUGUAUGUUCAUUCAUGACCUAAUGUGGUAUAUUAUGUGGUUAUGUGUUGUAGAGACUGUAAGACUGAAAGGAAACGUUAUUUAUACUGUAGCAGACACUGAAGGCAAGUUUUUCUUAAACGCUUGUCUAACCUUCGUGUUAGCCAAGUUUUCUGUGAUUCAUGUUAUGAGAUGCAUGAAGUGUUUUACUAAAGGGUCGAUGCCAGUUUUAUCUUGGCUAGACUAAUCUUGAAGAGUUGAUUGAUUUAUUUACAAGUCUUUCAAUAUAGAAUUGCUAACGCUAUCCUACGCCAAUUGUUUGGUACGGAUUCAAGGUAAGCCAGAGUAUGAAUAAACAAAUGUAUUUUCAUUGAUUAUUCGAUGGGCAAGCGAGGUUGCCAAAACUUAAAACGUAUACACGUUUAAUGGAUGUAGUGUUGAUCAACAUAGAGUACUAUGUGCUGAUCACCCAGAAGUGCUCGUAAGAUAUACCAGACUUACGAACUUAGUGUCGGGUUGUCCUUUUCAAAGAAAUUAUGAAAUGCUCAUGGUCUUUGACCAGGAUAAAUGUUUUACUGAAUAUUGUUAUUGUAAAACAUUUUGAAGGAAAAGAAGUGCUAUUUUAAAUUAUUGAUAGUACUUCAUAACUACUAUCCAGUUAUUAAAGAUAUACGAUUCCUAUGUUUCAAGCAUGUUGUUUGAAAGAAAUUGUUGUACUUGUUGAGCUUGUUAUGCUCACUCUUGCUUGAACCAUUUGAAUGCAGCUAGGACCGAACGAACCGAGGGAUCUGACAAGGAUAGAGGCGAGAUGAAACUGAAGGAUUAGUUUACCUUGUAAUAAACUAGUAAGUCGUAUAUAUUAUAAAAUGACGAACAAAGAAUAUAAUGGUUUUAGAACAUGGGAACGGGAUGUAAUAUUAUUAAUGUAAUAAGAAUGUCGUUGAUACACACAUUUUGAUGUUGUUUCAAUAGAAUGAAUGUACAGUUAUGAGUAUCGUGUAGCACCAUCUGUUGGGUUGGAAGAUAUCCGGAUUUGGGGGCGUCACAGGUUGGUAUCAAAGCAUUAGGUUAUAAAACUUAAGGGGGGAAGAACCUUAGGCUAAUAACCUCGUUAAGGAAGAAAAGUCCGAAGGAAGUAAACUCAAGCUUUACUUCAGUCGAAUGAGUCAAUAAGGUAUUGAGGAAACUCAGUACCAAAAGAUUUAAAAGAUGGAAAGUAACCCUAAAUAAAUUAAAUGUGAUUUGUGCUUAUACUAUGGUGUGUUAUAUACUAAUCAACAUGUUAUGUGUUAUUGAAGGAUGUCGAUCGACUGCUUAAUGUAUAGAGAUAUACACGCGGUGAGCGAAGAAGUUGUGAACAGAGUAAAGCCUGUACCUAUGCCGGUGGCGGAGGUACCAGUAGUGAUUCUAGAGGAGUCGAAGACAGUGGAGUACUUUUCUAAGGAGGACUACUCCGAGGAAGAUAUGGAUAUAGCGUCAUAUCUUAAUAUGAUGGUCUAUGAGGAGGAGAAAAUUGAGGUAACAGUGGUUAAUACUGUGGUACCUACACUAGAGUCAAUACCUCAAGAUGCAAUGAGAGCAUUGUAUCUGGAAGUGCUUGACAGGAAUGUGCAAUUGAGUACAGUUGUGCAGAAUCAGAGUGAAGAGAUUAAUUAUCUCCAUGAAGCUAAGGUGUCUGCAGAAGCAGAUUUUGAGUUAGAGCACGAUAGAAAUGUGCUUAUGACAGAGCAGGCUAGGGACUAUAAGGAAUAGGCCGAUAAGCUUCGUAAGAAGCUGAUUAAGAGAGACCAGAAGAUAGCACGGAUGUCUUACAUCUAUAAGAGUGCUCAUAUGGAUUUCAAGCUGAAAGUUGCUUGUCAUCCCAUGGAGUCAAGGCAAACUCGACAUACUAUUAGUCGGGAUACUGUAGCGAAGAUUGUGAAUGAGAAACACGAGGACGCUGUUAUGCAUUAUUAGCAGUCUAGAGUAAUAAAUAUAUGUGUAGUGACGUAAAACCCUCUUUUGUAUAAAAAAAGUAGUCUCUUUGUAAAUCCCAACUUUUGAGAAGUUCAAUUGCGAGAUAGAAGUGCAAUAGCCUUGGGCUAUGGAAGCAAAUUGUAAAUAGUUUUGACUAUGAAGAAGCAUAUGAAUAUAAUGAAGUUUUCAUGUAAUAUGCUUUGUUAUGGUAUGAGUUGUUAUGAGAUGAAUAAUAACGAAGUAAGUAAAUAGAUAAUAAUGAAAUUCUAUUUAACCAGAAAAUGCCAUCAAGAAGAAGACAACAUAAUCUGGAAGUGGAAUCAAGUAAUGAUAAUCAAGGGGGGGGGGGGUUAAAUUAACCCUAUGCAAGAGUUCGUUAAUUUAUUAAUGGCUGCAUUUAACUAAACCGGGGGUAGAGUACCUGCGGAACCUAGGUUAGCCAGAACGACUACCUUUAAAGAAUUUAAAAGUGUAGGUCCGCCAGAGUUCAAAAGAACAACGGACCCAUUAGAAGCCCAGACAUGGGUAAAGGAAAUAGAGAAGGUGUUUAUUAGUACAAACGUAGGUAAGGCGCAGAAGACUUCUUUUGUGACUUACAUGAUAAAAGGGGAAGCCAACUUUUGGUGGGAGGCUCACCAGGGUGGGGCUAAAAUAGAUGCGGUAACGUGGGAACAAUUCAAGAAGGUUUUCUUCGAGAAUUAUUUCCCUACAAGUAUGCAGGGGAGGAAGGAGAUUAAUUUCUUAGAACUUAAGCAAAGGGACAUGACGGUUCCCCAGUACGUGGCCAGAUUCAAUGAAUUGGCAAGGUUUACUCCACAUCAAGUGAACACUGAGAAGAGGAAGGCUCGUAUGUUUGAGCAGGGCCUAAAACCCUGGCUCCAUAGUAAGAUUUCUGUGUUCUAGAGUGUUUCCUUUGGGACCAUUCUGGAGAAGGUGAUUAUAGCCGAGGGUGGUAGUGAGGCGUUGACUCAAUACCACAAAGAAAGAAAGAAUGAGAGUAAGGGAGAGGGAGGAACCAAGGUAGAGAAUGUUAGUGGCAAUAUGCCAAAAAGAGAGAAUUUUAACUCCAGGAAUACUAGAGCGGGACAAGGGGAUCCUAAGCGUAAGAUCGAAGUGUGUAAGACAUGUGGAAAUACUCAUCUAGGAGUCUGUCUGAAAGGGAUUAUAAGUAUCUUUAAACAUUAUGGUAGAGAAUGGGGAAAUAACUUUCGUUAAUUAUAUUCGUGGAAAUGGUUUCAUGGAUAAUAAUGGUAAGCAAGUGUUGAUAGAUAAGCACCAAUAAUGUUGAGAGAAUUUGAAGUAAUUCUCGGUAUGAAUGGGUUGAUUAAUCAUAGAACUUUAAUACAUUAUUAGAAUAAAAGUAUAAAUCUUCGAUUUUCUAAAGUAACCCAAUGUAGUAUUUUACGGUAAUCAAAUACUGCGACGCUCUUGUUGUCUAACGAUGACGCAAGUUAGGAGGAUAUAAAGGAAGAGGAUGAGUCGUUACGGUUAUGUAUCGACUAUCGUGAUAGGAGUAAGUUAGCAGUUGAGAGUAAAUACCGAUAGCCCAGGAUCGAUGAUCUAUUUGAUCAGUUGAAGAUGGCAAAGAAUUUUUCUAAGAUAGAUUUGGGUACGGGGUAUUAUCGGUAAAAGUAAGGAAUGACGAGGUAUCUAAGACGACGUUCAGAAAUUGUUAUAGUUAUGAUGAGUUUCUGGUUAUGUCGUUUGGGUUAACUAAUGUGCAGAAGUUAAACUUUUCGUAAUGGGUGCUGAGCAAGUCGAUGGCAAAUUGAUAGGUAGUCUUGUGAGGUGCUAUGGUUGAAAGUACCAUUAGCAUCACAGAGUGUUCAAAUAAUAUUGGGAUGAGGGUGUAGUAAUGAUCAUUGGGGAUAUUCAAGUCUACUUUAAGACGUCAGAAGAUCACGUUGAACAUUUGAAGAUAGUGUGUGAAACACUACGGAGGGAGAAGUUGGAUAUGGAAUUCACUACGUGUGAAUUGUAGCUUGAGAGAUAGACAGAUUUGUUAUUAAGAAGUAUGUAGGGAAUGAGAAGUGAGAAAAUAGUUUUCAGGAGCUAAAAGGAAGGUUAAUUGAGGCACCUGUAUUGUCUUUAUCAGAUUAUAAAGGGAAUUUUGUAGUGUAUCUCGAUGUUUUGCAUGGAUGACGAGAUUGCGUGCUCAUGUAGCAUGGUAAAGUCAUUAGGUAUGCAUCACGCUAAUUAAGGAUUAUGAGAAGGUUUAUCCUACUUAUGAUCUAUAAUUGCCAGCUGUAGUUUUUGAAUUAAAAAUCGGAAGAUAGUAUUUAUACAGGGAGAAGUGUGAGAUAUACACGGACUCUAGGAGUCUGAAAUAUAUCUCCACACAGAAGGAGUUGAAUAUGAAGAAGAGAAGGUAAUUGGAAUAGAUAUGAGAUUACGACUGUGAUAUGUUAUAUCAUAUAUGGGAGGUAAACGUAGAAGCCGACGCGUUAAGUAGGAAGGGUAGGGAAAAGCUAUCGAUGUUAACGACUCAGAAUGAGUUACUAACGGAGAUGGCAAGCACGGAGCUAGAAGUUAAAUUACAGAAUGAAGUGGUAGAAAUGUUAUUCACAACGUAGACUUAAUCCACGAUAAUAGAACGAGUUAAUUAAAUACAACUAGGUAACGAGGAGUGCAAGCGAGUGAAGAAGAGAAUGCAGGAUAAAGAGAAGAUACUAUAUAAUCUUAUUUUGAAGGAGGAAUUUGAGUUUCAGAUAAUUUUGAAGUUAAAGGAAGAAUUAAUCAGAGGAAGAUAGCGUAAUAUGUUAAUAAGUAUUUAAACUUCCAACUCAAUUUAUUGAUAGGAAGUGACAAGUCAUGAAAAAUAAGAUAAUACCUUCGUUGAAGGGGAAAUGAAAGAACUACAAUGUCAAAGAAGCAUUGUGGAAACUUGAGAUUAAAAUGAUGAAGAAAUUUUCCUCAUUUAGUUAGAUAAUUGUAGCGAGAUUCUGGGGACAGAAUCCUUAUAAGGGGGGAAGAAUGUAACGCCCCAGAAAAUUUGGAUUUUUGAGAAUUAAAAUUUUAUUUGAUUAUGUGGAUUAAAAUGAAUUUAAUUAAUUAUAUAUGGGAGUAAGCUAAUUGAAGGUCGUUCUAUGACCUAGAUAUAUCGGAGUGUCAUAGUAUUUUGACUACGUGGUAGAAUUAAAGUGUUUGAAUUUUCAAGAUGAAAAUAAAAGCUUUUUGAGAAAUUUUUUGAAAAAUACUAUUCACGCAUUUCAGCUCGAAAAUUAUUUUUGAACUUCCGAUAAAUAUGUAAUGAUAGAAUAUCGAGGUGAGAUAGAAUAUCCAAUAAUAUUACAGUUAUGGCAAACAUAGUUUUUCGCCUACGAACUUAAAACCUAACGAUUAGGGAAAGUGAUUUCCGAGAAAGAAAUGGAAUAUGUAUAAUGAAUUAAAGCUAUGAUUGUAUAAUACGUAAGUAUUAUACGAGGUAAUGAAUACAAGUAUAAUACGAGGUAUUAUAUGAGUCUGUAUGAAUGAUGGAAUGUCGUAUAUUAAAUAAGUAUACGAGUUGGAAUACGAGAUGAAUACGCAAAUUAUACGUUAUAAGGCUUUAAGUUAAAUGAAUUUAAUUUAUAGGAUUGUGUAGAACAUUGUAAAGUCCAAUGAGAAUUGAUAAGGCCCAAGUGUAGAAAUGGGUAAGUCCAAUAGGAAUUAAUGCGUAAGCCCAAUGCAAGCUAAUGGUAAAGCCCAAAGAAUUGUUAAUGCAAGCCCAAGUAUAAGUUAAUCAAAAAGCCCAAAGUAUGAACUUAUGGGUUAUUGUAUGGUUUAAACCCAUGGGUGAUCCAAAGUAAUGAGAAAGUAAUUAAUGUGAUAAGCAAGUAAAGUGCUUAUGUGUGGUGAAUAAGUAAAAGUUGUGAUCAACAAGCAAAGGAUAAGCUAGGUGAUUAACAAGUAAACUUAAAGGCUAAGUUAUGUGAUUAGCAAGUAUACUUAAUGGUUAAGUAUAUGUGAUGCCCAAGUAUUGGAUAGAUGUUGUGAUGGCCAAGCAAAGAGUGUGGUGGCCAAGUUAACUUAGUACUUAAGCUAGGAAUAAUAAGGAGGUGAUUAAGGAGGUGGGAUUGGCUUUGGACUAAAAUGCCCUCACUUUGGGUUGCCUAUAAAUAGAGAGCUCUCAAUUCAUUUGAUGGCUUGAUUAAAAUUUCUCCCAACUCCUCUCAAGUUAAACAACUUAUUGGUUAGAGAGAAUAAGCACUUAUAAGUCAAACUUCCAUUAUGAGAUUUUCAAGAAGCAAGAAGGAGAUUAAAGCUUAGUCAAGUGAUAUUCAAGGGUAAGAACUUAAACCAUGAAUCUCUUUCUCUUCCAUUGGUAGGGAGAUGGGUAGUGGUAGAACAUGUAUGCUAAGGAAUGAUAGGAAUGAGUAAUCAAAGAGCUUAAGUCUUAAUAAGCCGUAUAAGUCAUGAAUAAGCUAUUCGUAAUCAUAUAAGUUAUGAAACAAGGAAGAACUUGUAGGAACUUGUUUUAUGUUGAAAUAAUAAGGUUGUAUGAUAAUAAGAAGUAAGGAUGAUGGUUAAAAGAUUUAAGCUAUGAUAAGUCAUGCAAAGUGAAUUCAUAAGUAGUUCAUACUUUUACAAGUUAUAGACUAAUGAAGAACAAGUAAUAACUUAUCAUGUCAAUAAGUUAAUGAAGUAUGUAUGUCAAGAGGUUAAUAUGAUGGAUUAAAUCCAUUUAAAACGAUGAACAAAUUAUAAGAAAUGAAGUUAAGGCGAAAUUUACGAGUUUGGACGAUAAUCGUCGAAUUCGUGAAAUUCUCGGAAUGGAAGUUGAAUUUUGAUAUUGAACUUGGAAACAUUGGUUUUCAAUGGAGACAAGUCAUAUUUGGCAUUAUAGAGUUGCGGACUCGAACAUUACGGGAUUCCGACUUAAAACGAAGGAACGAGUGUUGAACGUUCACGAACGUUUAUCGUUUUCGUUAAAAAUGAACUAAUAGGUUAAUUUUUAGCAAAUGAAGUCAAAUAGAUAAAAUUCUUGCAUGAAUGUGUAGAGUAUAUAAUUUGUGAACCGUAGGCUUUUGAACGAGCCAAUUCGGACUUAUAAUGAAGAAGUUAUGAGUCCGGGAGUUUCGUAAAAUUUCAAAUUUUGCCAACUAGCUGAGGCAUAGAGUUGGCACCGCGGCGCCAACCCAAGGCCAAAUGGGUGGCGUAGCAGCAUCGUAACAGUGUCAGGGCAUACUACUAACUCGCACCGCGACGCGAGAUGAAGAGCUAUGUGUGGCACCGCGGCGCCAGUCCCAGAGUUUUGACAGACAAGAAUGUUUACAAGUAUAGAAGGAAAGAUAACUCAUUUGUAAUGAAAUAAGGUGUUAAUAUAACAUUGCUAAGGCAUUGUUAGACACUUAAUUUAUGAUAAUUAAAGGCUGAUAACCAAUUGAAUGUGAAUGUAAUGAGAACAACGUAAUGUGCUAAGCCGGCUGUAGAAAUUUGUUGACUAAGUUGAUUAUGAAUCCAAUGGUUUGCAAUACCAUUAUGGGUUAUGUAAUUAUUUAAUGAACAUGAUAAGACCUUUCCUAAAUUACUGUUAUAGUGAUGACUUUAGUAAUUUAAUGUUGUUUAAUGAGUAGUUAAACAACGAACGGAAAGUAUAAUGAACGUGAACCGUAUUCAAUAAUGAUAAGGCCUAUAACGUUAAGAGUUACAACUAAAAGUUGUAUACAUAAAUGGUAUGCAAUAAAGUGUGCUUAACAAAUGACGAUCAAGUUUUGAUUAAUAAUUUAAGGAUGUUAGUAAGCCGUGAGGAAGGAUGAUUAACUCGAAACGAGUUCUAUUAAUGAAGUAAAUCCAUGUAAGAUAUAGAAGAGAAAGAAGUUGGUAACAAUAAUGUAAAAUAUAAUGGCAAGCCGGAACCAAUAGUAACAAAUCUAAUAUAUGAUUAGAUUGAGAUGAAGGAUAAGAUUCAUUAGGAACCAUAUAUGUUCAUUCAUGACCUAAUGUGGUAUGUUAUGUGGUUAUGUGUUGUAGAGAUCGUAAAGAUUGAAAGGAAACGUUAUUUAUACUGUAGCAGACGCUGAAGGCCAGUUUUUCUUAAACGCUUGUCUAACCUUCGUGUUAGCCAAGUUUUUUGUGAUUCAUGUUAUGAGAUGCAUGAAGUGUUUUACUAAAGGGUCGAUGCCAGUUUUAUCUUGGCUAGACUAAUCUUGAAGAGUUGAUUGAUUUAUUUACAAGUCUUUCAAUAUAGAAUUGCUAACGCUAUCCUACGCCAAUUGUUUGGUACGGAUUCAAGGUAAGCCUGAGUAUGAAUAAAAAAAUGUAUUUUCAUCGAUUAUUCGAUGGGCACGCGAGGUUGCCAAAACUUAAACGUAUACACGUUUAAUGGAUGUAGUGUUGAUCAACAUAGAGUACUAUGGGCUGAUCACCCAAAAGUGCUCGUAAGAUAUACCGGACUUACGGACUUAGUGCCGGGUUGUCCUUUUCAAAGAAAUUAUGAAAUGCUCAUGGUCUUUGACCAGGAUAAAUGUUUUAGUGAAUAUUGUUAUUGUAAAACAUUUUGAAGGAAAUGAAGUGCCAUUUUAAAUUAUUGAUAGUACUUCACAACUACUAUCCAGUUAUUGAAGAUAUACGAUUCCUAUGUUUCAAGCAUGUUGUUUGAAAGAAAUUGUUGUACUUGCUGAGCUUAUUAUGCUCACUCUUGCUUGAACCAUAUGAAUACAGCUAGGACCGAAUGAACCAAGGGAUCUGACAAGGAUAGAAGCGAGACGAAGCUGAACGAUUAGUUUUCCUUGUAAUAAACUAGUAAGUUGUAUAUAUUAUAGAAUGACGAAUAAAGAAUAUAAUGGUUUUAGAACCUGGGAACGAGAUGUAAUAUUAUUAAUGUAAUAAGAAUGUCGUUGAUACACACAUUUUGAUGUCGUUUCAAUAGAAUGAAUGUACAGUUAUGAGUACCGUGUAGCACCAUCUGUCGGGUUGGAAGAUACCAGGAUUUUGGGGCGUCACACUUUCGCUCUACAACUUCAUCCUAACACAACGGUGUUCUACACUUUCUCCCGUAAAGAGCUUCGUACGGUGGCAUGCCUAUGCUCGCAUGGUAACUAUUGUUAUAAGCGAAUUCAACUAAGGGCAGGUGAUCAUCCCAACUUUCUUUAAAGUCCAUCACGCAAGUUCUAAGCAUGUCCUCUAGAAUUUGUAUCGUUCGCUCACUCUGCCCGUCAGUCUGUGGAUGAUAACUGGUACUUAACCUCAAUUGUGUUCCCAUCCUUUCUUGCAAGCUCUUCCAGGAUUUUGACGUGAAGCGCGGAUCCUAGUUAGAAACGAUUGAUACCGGCACUCCAUGUCGUGAAACAAUUUUCUUUACGUACGGAUUUACUAAUUGAUUCAAACUAUAUCGGAUCUUGAUUGGUAGAAAAUGAGCCAUCUUCGUUAGUUUAUCCACGAUAACCCAAAUGGCAUCAAAACCUUUCUGCGUGACUGGAAGUCCCACCACGAAGUCCAUCGUAAUGUGCUCCCACUUCCACUCUGGUAUUUCCAAUGGUUGGAGUAGACCACUCAGCCUCUGGUGCUCUGUUUUAACCCAUUGACACGUAAGACAUCUACUAACGCACUCUGCGAUUUCUCGUUUCAGAUUAGGCCACCAAAAAUGUU
rnacentral:lncRNA from 1 species